GGUGAUUCUCAGAUGAUGCACCCCAGAAUCAGGCUCCCUCCUCUCUGGUUCUGAGUGCACCACUCGAGAACCGCA
rfam:Myotis lucifugus cont2.61678, whole genome shotgun sequence.